CGAUUUCCACAAGCAAGUUUUAUUGGAUUUGAUUCAAUGCAUCCAAACCCAUUAUUAUAAACGAAAAAACUUCAUUUAACUUCUCGAUAAUAUGUUAUUUUGUAUCCGUUUACAAUGAAUCUUACUAUGUUCAGUGCUCUUGAUGAUUUCUACAAUAUGAACGAUUUAGAUCUUUCAAAUAUACCUUACAUAAGCUCAUAUUUAACUACUAGUAGCCAAACCUAUUAUCACACUGAUUCAAUGCAUCAAAGCCUAUUAUUACAAACGCAAAAACUUUGUUUAGCUUCUCGAUAAGAUAUUGAAUUACAUCCGAUUACAAUGAAUCUUGCUGGGGUUAUUGUUCUUGAUGGUUUCUACAACAUGAACGAUUUAAAUCUUUAAAAUAAUUCUAAAAUAAGUUCAUAUUUGAUUGCUAAUAUAUGAGGACUGUGUUAAGUAGACUUCGCAGGUUGAAAUUGGGAAGAAGUCUGAAUUAACUAAACUCGCGCUUUCCUAAGGCGACUUUACCUCGGCAUAUUCGUCGAGCUUUCAAAUCAAAGGCUUUUUUCGCCGGCGAAGGGGAAAUUCCAUGGCACUCACCGCCUAUCUUCUUCUACUUAAUUCUCCAUUUCCCCAACGAAAUCCAUUGCAAAUCGUUCAUCAAGCUUCUCCACUGUAUACCCAAUCACUUCACGCGGCCAAACUCUACGCUCGAAAGGAGAAUCCUUUUGACAAGCCCCAACUAUCAUCGAGGGCCUCAUUCUUCUAGGAGUGUUUCAAAUUUCUCCUAGAGCUGAGAAAGUCUCUGAUUUCAGUGGCGAUUCUGAUGAACUCCUGAUCUUGCUCAUCAGGUUUCCCUUGGAAAAAUUGACCGUUCCUCUCCCUUCACAAGCCAUACACUUCAGCUGCCAAGGUACACUUGAGACUGAUGCUCCUAAGGACUUCGCCUUUCACAUGAAUACUAAACCACUCUGGAGCGUCCCCCUCCGUUCUAGGCAUUCUGAGCACCAUAUUCCUGACCAUCAAGUCAUGCCACGGAGCUAAUGAGAAGUAAUUCAAAAAACAGAUGCUGGUGUGACUCUUCACCAAUUCUGCAGGAACAACAAUUACCAUUAACUGCAUACCCCAACUUCUCAACAAGUUCUAAUAGGAUGUUAAGUGUCACAAGUUGAAGCACACUAGAUUACGCGACUCGAACAUAGAUUGACCAGCCAAUGAGGAUGAUUUGUUUCCGUUGAUAGAGGACAUCAACUACUGUUUCGACUCCUGGGCUGUGAACUUGGAGAAGUUGCUUGACCCACCAAAUCCACAAGGAAACCACGGUUCACAAGGUUGCCUUGAAAGUUUGAAAACCCUGAUGGCACCAAUUGCCAGUACCCUUGUGCACUCUUCACAUAUUUUCUGUUGGCACAGACACAUUAGGGUAGCUAGAUGUUCUGCUGCGUUUUGAGGACUUCCGGCAUAAACCAGACUUGGUCUUGUCCUCAGUGGUAAGGGAACAAGCAUAACUAUUGGUGGAUUUUUUGAUUCGUUUGUCAUGAUAUUGAUAUUAAAUUAUUAACAGUUAUGACAUGAGAAUUAGCAGGUCUAUGAUGCUUGCGUUCCUGUUGUGAUUAUAAACUUUGGAUUUAACUCAAAAACUUAAACUAGGUAGAGCUGCUCCAACAGUAUAUUUAACACAUUCCAUACCCAACCAAUGCGAAACUAUACAUUAUUUGAAUAUCUCUAUUUAGAUCCCCAGCAUUCUUGGCUGGAUUGGAUGACAAUUGACGAGGACAAAAGAGAAUCAAAUCUGAGUCUUUUUUCUAUUUGUUGUAAGAUCAUACAACCUGUGUCGUACAUAGAAUCAUACAAGAUCAUCAAGUUGACUAUGAAAGUUUAGAAGUCCGAUUGCCAAAUGGUUGUCUCGAGAAAGUUUUGGAUAGAACCUGGCUAUGUAAAAUACCAUUUAACGCCUCCUUUAUACAGAGUCCUUUCCUUUGCUUGGCAAAAAUUGCUAUUAUCAGGGUUUAGCAGUGAUACUUCGGCUUUGACGACAAGGUGUUCAACAGAAAGCCACGCAACUAAUGGCUUUAACUCAAGAUUGAUUAGUGUGAUUGUGUGAUCAUUCUAGGAGUAGCUUGAUGGUUCUCACAGUUAUAGAACGCUAUGCCACACGGAUUUUAUUGAUUUUCAUGUUCUUCUAUUUGAUUUCCAACAUUUUUCAUGUUCUAGAACAAGGGCUUAACAUUCCAAGACUGUUGAUUUAGGUUUUGAUUAGUGCAUGUGAUAUGUAAACUCUUGAAGGUAUACUGGUUUUGAAAUCAAUUCGUCAAACCAGUAAAAUUUGAUUGGUAUUUUUGCAGUCAAUUCUUUAAAGGAAAAUGUUGGGCAAUAGCUAGGCAGAUUGAUCUACUUCUCAGAAUGUUGAAUGAAGUGUUAAAAGUUAGCAAGAAACUUGUCAUUGGUUUGUGGACUGAGACUCGUCCAGUUCUGAUGGUGGUUUAAGCUAGUGGACUUGGCAGGAAGAUAUGUCAUUAUUUAAAAGUUUUCCCAGGAAUCUUCUUUCAGGUUUUGCACUUCCCCUUCAUCAUGUUCAUAUUUUCGAUGAUCGAUGUACGUCAAAUACUGAAUGCGCUUUAAGAUAUCAGAACCAUAGGUACAUGACAUAUAGUCUAACACCUAACUGAAUUUAGUCAUAAGGUUACGGUCGAUACUCAGUUGGUGAAAGAGGAAUGGUUCCAUAUGUUGGUUUCUAGUGCUUUGGGAGUUACUUUUAUGUAUUCUCAGUUGAACACAGCAUAAUAUUGCACUGUCACAAAAAAAACUCCAGAGGGAAGGGGGGGAGGGUAAGAAUGAGAAUAAAAGACACCAUGCAGACAUUUAUUCUAAACAAAACAAUUGGGUUCCAACUCAAGCUCAGAAAAUAGAAAGUAGACAAAAAGGAAGAGUUUUUUUUUAGUAUUUUUAGAAUAGUUAGAUUAGCACCUUGGAAGAGGAGUUAAAACUCUUAACCUGCAUAGAGGAAAGAAAAUUUGUUUUCAAUUUUUGGGACAAUUAACUUGUACCAUGGCUUCAGCAGGACUAGAAUUCUCUUUGAGCAUAGUUGGUUGCUGUUGCAACAAGUGGUAGAGAGGUUAGUACUUACAGCCCCUUCGUCUGCUUGGAUGGGAAAUGAAAAGAACGAAGUGUUGAUUCAAACACUAAUGAAAAAAGAAAGAAAAGGAGCAUGUUUUCUCAUCAUCUCAUUUAGCAAAAUAAAAGAUUUAAGGCUGAGUUUUCCUAUGGGGUUAAAGUGGCUUAUUUUCCUUCACAAAAUACAAAGGGAAAUAAGACCAUUUAGCUCGUUUAGGAAAACUCUGCUAUACUUCACUUUUUCUCUUCUCACCAAAAAUGGUUGGAAAAAAAAAUGGCUCUUCAGGGUUCUUUACUCACUUAUUCUCUCCCUCUAUAACCUCUUUGGCCAUCCAAACAUGGGAGAGAAUACUCUUUCUCUUUUUUUCCUUGCUUAGUGAUUUACAUGGUGCUAAUGCGAAUAGGAGUAAUUAUUAAUCACAAAUUUUAUGUUAUCAAUUCUCUUUAUGAUGGUUUGCAGGAGGUUCUCUUUCUCAAUCGUGAAUAGUUACGGUUUCCCUCUCUCCACCGACUGAUUUGGUCUACGCAUUAGUUAGAUCAAAUUGUGUUCGUAGUCACGAAACACAAGAAUUUCAGUCAUGUAAUUAACAAGAGAGAACCAAAUUGCCGAAUUGGUCUUUGAAAAUGUUGCGAUGUUGUCAUUUUUUUAUUCCGAAACACUGGAAGGAAAAAGAGUAUUUUUUUUAAAGUUGUAUCAAUGAAUUGGAUGGAUCAUAUGUGGAACUUAUUUUAAAAUGCUUACUUUUGUGAAUAGAUACUGUUGGGGUAAUACAAGGUCAAUUGGUUGUGGCUAAUUGAUGUAAACUAUAAGACUACUCCUUCUAGCUACCCCCAUUAACCUCCUAUAGCGCUAAAGUUGCAUUAUAUUUGGCGUUUCCUAUAGGCACCGGUUUCAUGCUUCUUUCUCACAGUUGUAGAUGAUUUUUAAAUUAUCCUGAUUUUCAAUUUUAAAGAGUUCACUCUCUAUCAUUGAUUCGGAAACCAAAAAAAAGAUGGUUAUCUUAUUUACACUCUUGUAAAGCGUAAUGGAUCAAGUAGAAAGAGCCCUACAAAAACUAAAACUAUACCUUUUUUGUUUUUCAUAGAUCUCUGUUUGAGACGGUGGCUCCACUCUUAGAUAUCAUGGUGAUGGUGUUAUUUUCCUAUUUGUUUUCUGCUGCCAUCUAUUUCUCCUCCUUUCAUCCUAUAUAUAAAUUGGGCUUCAUAAUAUGGGUUAUCCGCUCCUUGCAUCCAUAAGCUCCACUCUAUCCCUCUUCCGAGACACCUUUUCUGUGCAAGAACAGGAUAUACCCCACGAACAUUAUAAAUCAUGCUUCUUUUAUUUUUAUUUUUUUGUUUUUUAACUUAAUAAUUUACUUUUUGUUUUCUUUUAACAUAUCCUUCCUAUCACUUUAGUCAAAAAAUUUCCUUGGAGAUGUCGGGAAUGGAGCUGCAAUGAAACUUCUUGUGAACAUGAUCAUGGGAAGGUACAAGGUCAUAUAUAAGGUACAAGCAAUCAGGAUUAAAAAAAAGGGUACAUGCAAUCCAGAGGGUACAAGAUACAAGGUAUAAAGAAGGAGUUGGAAUGGAUGAUCCAGAGGGUUUGCCGUGUUUCUGUGCUGAAUUCCUUGAUUAAGUUGGCCUUUUUCUGCAACUGUUUACUACAUUUUGGGGGAAAAAGAAACGCCAGAAUUUUUCAAGUUGGGAGGCAAG